rnacentral:rRNA from 1 species
UCUGUAGGGGGACCUGCGGAGGGAUCAUUACCGAGUUUACAACUCCCAAACCCCUGUGAACAUACCUAUUGUUGCUUCGGCGGGAUCGCCCCGGUGCCUCUGUGCUCGGAUUGAGGCGCCCGCCGGAGGCCCCAAACUCUUGUUUUUUUUUAGUGAUAUCUUCUGAGUCUCACAAACAAAUAAAUUAAAACUUUCAACAACGGAUCUCUUGGUUCUGGCAUCGAUGAAGAACGCAGCGAAAUGCGAUAAGUAAUGUGAAUUGCAGAAUUCAGUGAAUCAUCGAAUCUUUGAACGCACAUUGCGCCCGCUAGUACUCUAGCGGGCAUGCCUGUUCGAGCGUCAUUUCAACCCUCAAGCCCCCGGGCUUGGUGUUGGGGAUCGGCCGCCGCUAAACCCGGUGGCCGUCCCCUAAUUCUAGUGGCGGUCUCGCUGUAGCCUCCUCUGCGUAGUAGCACACCUCGCACUGGAACGCGGCGCGGCCACGCCGUAAAACCCCAACUUCUGAAUGUUGACCUCGGAUCAGGUAGAUGCCCCGGAG